AUGCAGUCGAGCGGUAGCACAGAGAGCUUGCUCUCGGGUGACGAGCGGCGGACGGGUGAGUAAUGUCUGGGAAACUGCCUGAUGGAGGGGGAUAACUACUGGAAACGGUAGCUAAUACCGCAUAAUGUCGCAAGACCAAAGUGGGGGACCUUCGGGCCUCAUGCCAUCAGAUGUGCCCAGAUGGGAUUAGCUAGUAGGUGGGGUAACGGCUCACCUAGGCGACGAUCCCUAGCUGGUCUGAGAGGAUGACCAGCCACACUGGAACUGAGACACGGUCCAGACUCCUACGGGAGGCAGCAGUGGGGAAUAUUGCACAAUGGGCGCAAGCCUGAUGCAGCCAUGCCGCGUGUGUGAAGAAGGCCUUCGGGUUGUAAAGCACUUUCAGCGGGGAGGAAGGCGAUAAGGUUAAUAACCUUGUCGAUUGACGUUACCCGCAGAAGAAGCACCGGCUAACUCCGUGCCAGCAGCCGCGGUAAUACGGAGGGUGCAAGCGUUAAUCGGAAUUACUGGGCGUAAAGCGCACGCAGGCGGUCUGUCAAGUCGGAUGUGAAAUCCCCGGGCUCAACCUGGGAACUGCAUUCGAAACUGGCAGGCUAGAGUCUUGUAGAGGGGGGUAGAAUUCCAGGUGUAGCGGUGAAAUGCGUAGAGAUCUGGAGGAAUACCGGUGGCGAAGGCGGCCCCCUGGACAAAGACUGACGCUCAGGUGCGAAAGCGUGGGGAGCAAACAGGAUUAGAUACCCUGGUAGUCCACGCCGUAAACGAUGUCGAUUUGGAGGUUGUGCCCUUGAGGCGUGGCUUCCGGAGCUAACGCGUUAAAUCGACCGCCUGGGGAGUACGGCCGCAAGGUUAAAACUCAAAUGAAUUGACGGGGGCCCGCACAAGCGGUGGAGCAUGUGGUUUAAUUCGAUGCAACGCGAAGAACCUUACCUGGUCUUGACAUCCACAGAACUUAGCAGAGAUGCUUUGGUGCCUUCGGGAACUGUGAGACAGGUGCUGCAUGGC
rnacentral:rRNA from 1 species